CGGGGCUACUGCUCUGUAAUUGGCAUGGGGGCGACCUUCACCCUCGCCCGAGUACCCAUUGGAGGGCAAGUCUGGUGCCAGCAGCCGCGGUAAUUCCAGCUCCAAUAGCGUAUAUUAAACUUGUUGCAGUUAAAAAGCUCGUAGUUGAAUCUCACGUCCCCCGCGUGGUCCUUCACUUGGCGGGACGCCUCGUUACUUUGAGAAAAUUAGAGUGUUUCAAGCAGGUUUCGCCUGUAUAAUUGAGCAUGGAAUAACCUUGUAUGACCCUGUCGUACCGUUGGUUGGCUUUGGGUAAUGGUUAAUAGGAACGGUUGGGGGCAUUCGUACUCGACUGUCAGAGGUGAAAUUCUUAGAUUUGUCGAUGACGCACGACUGCGAAAGCAUUUGCCAAGGACGCUUCCAUUAAUCAAGAAC
rnacentral:rRNA from 1 species